GUUUCACUUCAGCAGCCCUUGUGGGGAGCACGACUGGGACAUUCUGGUAAUGGGAUUCAGCAGGAUCAGGCCUGGGGUGGGAGAGGAGCUCUGGCGAAGAUGCCCCUGACAGAACAUCACCUGUAGCAACACGGAAUGUCCGCACCAUCGAGAGGAGCCGCUUGGUGUCACUCCUCCAUCGUUAGAGCUGUGUGGAGCGGAGGAAACACCGGCACCGUGUUCGCGGUCGGUGUCUCCUGUGGCUGCAUUGCUGGAGGCAGCUACUGCACACCUGAGUUUGGAAUCGCCUUCAGCUCUGCUUCCCGUGGCUGCAGGAUGCAUUUCAGUGCCCAUCACCAUAUUAUCCAGGCGCCACCGUAAGAUUAAGGAGCUCUGCAGUGACAUUCUCAACGUGGUCUGUUCAAAGGUCAUUAGCAGAACCUUUCACACUGGAAAAGACUGGAGGAGAGCACGGAAGUGACCGCCAAGGAGAGGAAAAGGAGCAGGAGGCAGCAGGCUGGUGGAGCCAUUUUGGUUGUGCUCACACCGUGUGCUUUGCUCGGCUGAGCCAGAGCCCCGGGGACCUCGGGGCAGCUCCUUUGUGCUGCUGCAGGGCUUGUUGGACACUCCUGUCACCUCAGAGCGUUGGCCCACAUGGCCUCAAGAUUGCUGCCCCUGUGCCAUUGCCAUGCUGGGGCUUUAUGACUUCUGUAUCUUCCAGCCUCAGAGCAGGAUAUUCGUCUCACAAAUCCCAAGGAGAGAGCAAGCCCAGCAACUCGGGAACCACCUUCUCCAAGUGAAUAUAUUAGUUAAAGUUUCAUUUUCCUCAUUGUGUGCAAAUCCUCCCAACUGUUUGUGUUUGAAGAAGGCAAAAAAGGGUGUUUUGCUAUGUACACAAAGCUACACAGGACCCACAGAAUCAGGAGAGGUGAUUUUACCCCAGGGGGCCCUGUCCUGCUCCCCCUGAAACUGGUUGCUGCCAUGUCUCCAAGGACAGCCUGGGAACUCGUGUUCCAGAGAGGUGGCACUGCCUGGACCCUGCUGCUCCCGUUUCAAGCAGC